UUUAGAGGAAGGAGAAGUCGUAACAAGGUUUCCGUAGGUGAACCUGCGGAAGGAUCAUUGUCGAAUCCUGAAUCGAAGAGCGACCCGAGAACAUGUUUUAAGACGGGGCCAGCGGUCGUCGGCCUCGGCCUGACGGCUGCGAACCCUAGGCCGGGGGGCGCCUAGUUGUGCCCGCCGGCCCAAAACCUAACCGGGCGCGGAAUGCGCCAAGGAAACCGAAACUGAACAGGAUGUCUCCGCCCCGUUUGGGGGGGUCGACAUCCUUCUGAGAAACAAACGACUCUCGGCAACGGAUAUCCCGGCUCUCGCAUCGAUGAAGAACGUAGCGAAAUGCGAUACUUGGUGUGAAUUGCAGAAUCCCGUGAACCAUCGAGUUUUUGAACGCAAGUUGCGCCCGAUGCCAUUAGGCUGAGGGCACGUCUGCCUGGGUGUCACGUAUAGCUUUGCCCCUCCGCAGCUCGCUCAAAGCGAGUCAUUGCUGUUCGGGGGGACGGAAAGUGACCUCCCGUGCCUCGUCGUGCGGCUGGUUUAAAAGAGAGUCUCCGGAGAUCGGAAAACGCAACAUUGGUGGAAGGCAUUACGCACCUCUUGCCAUCUUGCGCUGAGCCCGUUUACUCCGUGAGCAACAGCGACCCUUUGGCGCCGCCCCAGGUGCGCGCUCGAACUGUGACCCCAGGUCAGGCGGGACUACCCGCUGAGUUUAAGCAUAUC
rnacentral:rRNA from 1 species